GACGAACGCUGGCGGCGUGCUUAACACAUGCAAGUCGAACGGAAAGGCCUGCUUUUGUGGGGUGCUCGAGUGGCGAACGGGUGAGUAACACGUGAGUAACCUGCCCUUGACUUUGGGAUAACUUCAGGAAACUGGGGCUAAUACCGGAUAGGAGCUCCUGCUGCAUGGUGGGGGUUGGAAAGUUUCGGCGGUUGGGGAUGGACUCGCGGCUUAUCAGCUUGUUGGUGGGGUAGUGGCUUACCAAGACUUUGACGGGUAGCCGGCCUGAGAGGGUGACCGGCCACAUUGGGACUGAGAUACGGCCCAGACUCCUACGGGAGGCAGCAGUGGGGAAUAUUGCACAAUGGGCGGAAGCCUGAUGCAGCAACGCCGCGUGCGGGAUGACGGCCUUCGGGUUGUAAACCGCUUUCGCCUGUGACGAAGCGUGAGUGACGGUAAUGGGUAAAGAAGCACCGGCUAACUACGUG
rnacentral:rRNA from 1 species